rnacentral:rRNA from 1 species
GACGAACGCUGGCGGCGUGCUUAACACAUGCAAGUCGAACGGAGUUCCUUGGAUAGAGGCUUCGGCCAAUUGAAAUGGAACUUAGUGGCGGACUGGUGAGUAACGCGUGAGGAACCUGCCUUUCAGAGGGGGACAACAGUUGGAAACGACUGCUAAUACCGCGUACGACCUUUGGGUGGCAUCACCUGGGGGUGAAAGCAGCAAUGCACCGAUAGAGUGCCUCGCGGCCUAUCAGCUAGUUGGUGGGGUAAUGGCUCACCAAGGCGACGACGGGUAGCUGGUCUGAGAGGAUGACCAGCCACAUUGGGACUGAGACACGGCCCAGACUCCUACGGGAGGCAGCAGUGGGGAAUAUUGCGCAAUGGGCGAAAGCCUGACGCAGCGACGCCGCGUGUGGGAUGACGGUCUUCGGAUUGUAAACCACUGUCGGGAGGGACGAAGCUCUGACGGUACCUCCAAAGGAAGCACCGGCUAACUCUGUGCCAGCAG